CAAUAACAUAAAAAAAGAGAGAGAGAGUGAAAUGAAUGGAAAGGUAGAACUUAUCUGUAAAAAAACAUAUAUAAGCUAUAAGAAAGAACCAUGGAGGUAUUGUGGAAUGGGGAAUUAUUUAAUGGAUAUAGUUUCAUUUUUGCAAGAUGAAAAGAGUUCUGAAGAUUGGUUGCACUCAAUAUGAAGGUAUUUAACACUACUGAACUGUACACUUAAAAAUGAUUAUAAUGGUAAAUUUUGUGUAUUUUAUCACAUUUUUUAAAAAAGGAAUAAAGUAAAUUGAUAUGUACUUAUCUGGGAAUAUAUCCAUAAUGCAUUUCUAAGUAAAAAUAAAGCAUGUUUUAGAGUGGGGGGGAAAAACAAAUUGAUAUGUAAGAACUGAAAACUGCAAUAAUUGCAAUAAAAAAAUUCACUAGAUGGGCACAAUUACAGAAUGGAGAUGACAGAGGAAAGAGUCAUUGAACUUUAAGAUCAAUAUCAAAAUCAAUAUAUAUUACCCAUUCGAAUAACAGAGAAGAACAACUGAAAAAAGUUAUCAGAGCCUCAUGUACCUGUGGAACAAUUUCAAAGGAAUAAAAUGCAUGUCUUUGGAGCCCCAGAAAAAGAGGAGACAUUGGUACAGCUAACUAUUGAAAGAAAUAAAGGAUGAAUUGGCAAAGGCAUGGCUGUAAUGAUUCAAGAAGCUUAGUAGAUCCCAAACAAGAUAAACUAAAAUAAGCAAACAAUCAAAAAGCUGUCCAGAUGCAUUAUAACCAAACAGCUGAAAAUUAAAAAUUUUUGAGAGAAAAAUGUUGCAUUACAUAUAAAGGCAAAAUGAUUCCAAUGAUUAUGAAUUUCUUAUCAUAGAGGCCAUAAGGCAGUUGAACAAAGAAAUAUCAACCUGGAAUUCUAUAUUCUGUUAAAUAUCUUUCAGGAAUGAAGGCAUUCUCAGAUGAAGGGAAAAUAAGAGAAUAUGUUGCCAAUGCACAUGCUUAAAAAAAAAAGAAAAAGAAGCUAAAAAACAAGUUGUUCAGAUAGAAGGGAAAUGACACCAGAGGGACACCUGAAACUUCAGAAAUGAAGAAAGAGCAAAAGAAAUAACAAAUAUAUGGGAACAUCAUGAGAAGCCAGAGUUCUUUGGAGAAGACAACAGUGCUGAGGAAAACAAGGCAGCAGGACAAGAGGAAGACCACACAUGACAUAAGAAGCCACAGGCACGAGUCUACAGGAGCUGAGACUCAUUCACAGGGUCACCAGGAGUCGGAGCUGGUUCAGCAGCACGUAGCACACGGCUGCCACAUAAACGAGUGCGUGGGACCUCGUGGCUUAGCCUCAAGGAGUGUUCUGAGUGUCACUCUGAGGCAAGGAUUUUCCUCCCCAUCACUGUCAUGGGCAGCAGCAACCACCACAGGGUAAAUCGUGGAUUUAGGCAAGAAGGUAUCUAAAUGCUCAGCCAUCAACUUCACCCUACGGCUGGCUCUCCUCCGGUGACAGGAUGAUUGCUGAUUGUCCAGAGGCCGUUUGGUUCUCAUCCACAUCCAAGUAAAGAGACAGCUCUUCCCAGAGUAGCCAUGCACACAGUAACAUGCAUGACAAAAGAAUACUGAGCUCCUGACGCCAAAUGCCUGCAUUCAGGUCCCUUCCCAGUUUUCUCCCAGGCUGUUGAGAGGGCAUUUGCUUGACGUGUCUGCACUGAAGAGCCUGCUCCAGGAGUUCUCAAGAAGGCCCAGUUUCGGCCCCAAAGGGGAAUCCACGUCUCCCAACUUCUGGGAGAAAUAAAAUUGGUAUAGUUUUCAAAACGCUCCCAAAGUCUCCCUGACUCCUUUUCCAC